rnacentral:lncRNA from 1 species
AUCCAGGAAUAGAGGGGUUUGAUGGACAGACACACGGGCCAUUUACCAAUGAGUAAACUGAGUUUUGGUGUAUUCCUAGCCAAUUGGAUUUAACACAGAGCCUUCCGGUAUUUCCUAUAAAUUUGAGCUCUGUGAAUAAAGAAUUAGGUUUUCUGGAUGAAGAAGCUGUGUCCUGUCUGUUUGUAUUGUGUUAGCUAACAAUAAUUAGUUAGCAACAAGUCACUGAAAUGAAUCCUUGGCAAAGAAGGUUACACUGUGUCUGAUGUUUGAAUGAAACACAGAUCCGCUUUUUAUUAUUUACCCAUCACAGUCUUGACGUUAUUUGAUAAUGCAGCUGCUGAUGUUUGCUCCAUGAAACCAAUUGUCUUGUGAAGGUCUGCUCUGGCCAACACAGCAAGAAAGGAAAUUUCCUGUGGAGUGGCUUUUAUUGUGAAGCAUGGCAGGAAUGACUUCUCUGACCCAACAUGUGAAGUGGCCUCCCAAACAAAUACAAUUUUGAUAAUUUGCUUAUUUAUAGCAUGCUGCACUUUCUAGUCUUACUCAUGAUCAGGGUGCCAAUUUGCAAACACACAAAGACUUUUUGUUGAAGUGGGUAGAGCAGGCAAAGAGAUAAGUAAGGAAACAGGAAAAUAAAAUGUCUUUUUUUUUCUCCA